CUCCUGCAUAGGCCCUGCCCACAGGGAUGAUUGUGAAAGAUUGCUGAUCCCAGCCCCCUACGUGAUGUGACUCUUCUCUUCUGCCUGGGUCUUAUUUUCUAAGCACAUUGUGACAUAAUGCUGAGCUGACAAUCAGAUGAGACUGUGACAUAUACCUCUGCCCAUCACCUGAUUUGACUCUUCUGCCUGGGACCAGACAACAGAUGGGACUGUGACAUCACUGGACCUAGCAUUUAAGUAAUGUGACUCCAUUUGUCUGCCUUGGUACUGUGUGGCAAGGGGCAUUGUGCCAUGUUGCUGGGAAUUGCACCCAGGUUCCGUGACUCUCCUGUCUGUGCCCUGCCUACAUGGAUUAUUGUGACAUAUUGCUGGGUCCAACACCCAGGUUCUGCCUGUAGAAAAGAUUGUAACAUAAUGCUGGGCCCAACUUCAAGGUGGCAUUACUUUUUUGACUUGGCCUUGCUCUCAGAAGACAUUAUAACAUACUGCUGGGCCCAGAACCAAGGUGAUGUUAAGUCUUCUGACUAAAACCUACCCACAGAAGACAUUGUGACAUAUCUCUGGGCCCAUCAACUAUUUGAUGUGACUCUACUCUUAUCUGAGUUUUUUUAAUAAAAGAGAUUUUGACAUAU
rnacentral:lncRNA from 1 species